GCCUUCGUGGUGUAGUAGUCAGCACGCUCGACGCGCAUUCCAGAGUUCCGUGGUUCGAAUCCCUUCGAAUGCA
rnacentral:tRNA from 1 species